AAAAAAACAAACAGAAGAAACCUAAUGAGCCUUGUCACUUCGCUCUAUUUCCUCUCAAUUUUCCCUUUGUUGACAUCUGCAACAUUAUUAUUCCAGGGGUUCAAUUGGGAAUCAUGUAAUAAGGAAGGAGGAUGGUACAACUCACUCAAGAAUUCCAUUCCUGAUCUGGUUAAUGCAGGAAUUACCCAUGUCUGGCUUCCUCCACCCUCUCAGUCAGUUUCAUGUGAAGGAUACAUGCCAGGGAGACUGUAUGAUCUGAAAGCGUCAACAUAUGGAACCCAGGAUGAACUGAAAUCGCUAAUUCAAGCAUUCCACCAGAAGGGAAUUAAGUGCCUGGCUGAUAUAGUGAUAAAUCAUAGAACUGCUGAGAAGCAAGAUAACAGGGGAAUAUGGUGUAUCUUUGAAGGUGGAACUUCUGAUGAUCGCCUUGAUUGGGGACCAUCCUUCAUUUGUAGUGAUGACACUGCCUAUUCUGAUGGCAAAGGAAAUCCUGAUACAGGCGAUGACUUUGCACCUGCACCUGAUAUUGACCAUCUCAACCUGAGAGUUCAGAAAGAGUUAUCAGAUUGGAUGAAUUGGUUAAAUUCUGAAAUUGGAUUUGAUGGAUGGCGAUUUGAUUUUGUAAAGGGAUAUGCUCCUAGUAUUACCAAGAUUUACAUGGAAAAAACUUCUCCAAAUUUUGCAGUCAGUGAAAAAUGGGAUUCUCUUGCUUAUGGGCAGGAUGGAAAGCCCGAUGCUAACCAGGAUGCCCACCGUGGUGCAUUAAAAGAUUGGAUUCAAGCUGCUGGUGGUAUUACCACAGCAUUUGAUUUCACAACAAAAGGGAUCCUUCAAGCUGCUGUGCAAGGAGAGUUGUGGAGAUUGAAGGACUCGAAUGGAAAGCCACCAGGUUUAAUUGGCAUAUUGCCUCAAAAUGCAGUGACUUUUAUCGACAAUCAUGACACUGGAUCCACUCAACGUCUUUGGCCAUUUCCAUCAGACAAAGUCAUGCAGGGAUAUGCAUACAUUCUUACCCAUCCUGGAAUCCCAUCCAUAGUAACUUCUGCUCAAUCUUUUCAGUUUUAUUUCUCAUGUGAUAGUAAUUGCACUAAGAGAUGUUUUCUACCUUUGCAGUUUUAUGAUCACUUCUUCGACUGGGGGCUAAAGGAACAAAUUAGUAAAUUGGCAUCAAUCAGGAAGACUUACGGGAUCCAUGACAGAAGCACAGUGAAAAUUUUGGCUGCCCAAUCUGAUCUCUAUAUGGCGACGAUUAAUGAUAACAUCAUCAUGAAGAUUGGACCAAAGAUGGAUCUUGGUAACCUUCUUCCCCCAGACGUCCAGCUUGCUACAUCAGGAGAAAGCUACGCUGUGUGGAUAACAAAGCCAAAAUACUAGACUCCCUGCACGUGAAAUUCUUAGUAGAAUAAUUCUUGUAUUAUAAAAAGAUAAAACGUCUUUGCUAUCCAGAGACCUCUUUUCUUUUCCCUUUUCAAGCAGUGGAUGGAUAACUU
rnacentral:misc_RNA from 1 species